AAAAAACAACGUGUGUAUGGAUUGAGAUCUGAAGCUUUAACCUUGUAUAAAGAUAUGACAUGCAAUUGCCUAUAGUGUCCGAUCAUGUUGCCGAAGAGCGCAUCAAAAUCUACGGAGGUGCAAUAACGAGUAGAGCAAGAGGUUUCCCGUUUGAGGCAACAAAGUGAUGAUCGAUUAAAAUCCACGGAGGAGCAAUGGUCUCGCAUGAUGACCGACAUGGCAUUAUCUUCUCGCUCAUUUAGUAAUCCUACUCUCCCAAAUAGGGACUCAUCUAAUGCUUAAGUGUUUAAUAUUUUGAAAUUUUAAUUUGUUGAAGUGUCGAAACAUUGUCACACUUUUUUGGAUAGUUAUAUGCUUUAAAUUUUAAACAUUGGUAGACCUUUGUUUAUUGAAGUUGUGAUUUUGCACGUUUUAAUAACUUCAU
rnacentral:lncRNA from 1 species